rnacentral:misc_RNA from 1 species
GAACUGCGAUAAGUAAUGUGAAUUGCAGAAUUCAGUGAAUCAUCGAGUCUUUGAACGCACAUUGCGUCCCCUGGCAUUCCGGGGGGCAUGCCUGUCCGAGCGUCAUUGCUGCCCUUCAAGCCCGGCUUGUGUGUUGGGUCGUCGUCCCCCCCGGGGGACGGACCCGAAAGGCAGCGGCGGCACCGUGUCCGGUCCUCGAGCGUAUGGGGCUUUGUCACCCGCUCGAUUAGGACCGGCCGGGCGCCCGCCGGCGUCAAACCCCAAUCUUUCUAAGGUUGACCUCGGAUCGGGUAGGGAUACCCGCUGAACUUAAGC